rnacentral:rRNA from 1 species
CNUCCGUAGGUGAACCUGCGGAAGGAUCAUU